rnacentral:rRNA from 1 species
AUACGGAGGAUGCGAGCGUUAUCCGGAUUUAUUGGGUUUAAAGGGAGCGUAGGUGGGAUAUUAAGUCAGCUGUGAAAGUUUGGGGCUCAACCUUAAAAUUGCAGUUGAUACUGGUUUCCUUGAGUACGGUAUAGGUGGGCGGAAUUCGUGGUGUAGCGGUGAAAUGCUUAGAUAUCACGAAGAACUCCGAUCGCGAAGGCAGCUCACCGGGCCGGAACUGACACUGAUGCUCGAAAGUGCGGGUAUCAAACAGGAUUAGAUACCCUGGUAGUCCGCACAGUAAACGAUGAAUACUCGCUGUUUGCGAUACACUGUAAGCGGCCAAGCGAAAGCGUUAAGUAUUCCACCUGGGGAGUACGCCGGCAACGGUGAAACUUAAAGGAAUUGACGGGG